rnacentral:misc_RNA from 1 species
GCCAACACGGAUUGUAUUUGCGGUGGUAUUGAUCAUCAUAUUAUAAUGCUCUCACUUAGCUUUCUCUCACGCUGUUGAGGCCAUACUCAACCUUAUCACUGGGUUCUGGAUAGUUGUAGACUUAACCCCACCUCCAGGAUUUAAUGCCAUCUCAAGCACAGCAUUUGGCUCUGUCUCCAUAUGCAUGCUAUCUCCAUUUACACAGCUAUUAUCCAACUGAAGUUCGGAAUCUGCCUCACACGAAUCAACAACAGAUGUUCCCGGAUUGUUACUUUCAUCAGCACUUCCUUCUAUGCUCCCAGCAUUGCCUUCACU